rnacentral:lncRNA from 1 species
CAUGAUUCUAACCUUAACAAUGUUAAUCUCGACAGAACCCAUAACUAUAUCAGGCAUCAACAUACAAAUGAGAAUUUUGACAACAUCAAAGCUGGCUUUUUACUUGGUGACCUCAUCUUCAAACACAAAUGAACCCCAUAAACUAUUGGUACCUACAAAAACUUGUUUAACCCAUCCAUGCAAUAGAACACCUUCACAACGAAACCAAGCAAAG